AUUGAACGCUGGCGGCAGGCCUAACACAUGCAAGUCGAACGAGUGGCGGACGGGUUAGUAAUGUCUGGGAAACUGCCUGAUGGAGGGGGACAACUACUGGGAACGGUACCUAAUACCGCAUACCAUCGCAUGUGCCCAGUUGGGAUUAGUUAGUAGGUGGGGUAAAUGCUCACCAAGGCGACGAUCCCUAGCGGGUCUGAGAGGAUGACCAGCCACACUGGAACUGAGACAAGGUCCAGACUCCUACGGAAGGCAGCAGAGGGGAAUAUUGGACAAUGGGCGAAAGCCUGAUCCAGCCAGGCCGAGUGUGUGAAGAAGGUCUUCGGAUUGUAAAGCACUUUAAGUUGGGAGGCGUUACCAACAGAAUAAGCACCGGCUAACUUCGUGCCAGCAGCCGCGGUAAUAC
rnacentral:rRNA from 1 species